UAUUGGCUGAUUCCGUAUUGGGGAAUUUACUCAAACGCCGCCCUUUUAACUCAGUGGUAGAGUAACGCCAUGGUAAGGCGUAAGUCAUCGGUUCAAAUCCGAUAAGGGGCUUUUUGUAUCAAAAAAUGAUAACAGUAGGUAUUCCUAUUUGAA
rnacentral:tRNA from 1 species